UACAGAGGGUGCGAGCGUUAAUCGGAAUUAUUGGGCGUAAAGGGUGCGUAGGCGGUUUGGUAAGUCUCUUGUGAAAUCUAUGGGCUCAACUCAUAGUCUGCAAGGGAAACUGCCGGGCUUGAGUGUGGGAGAGGUGAGUGGAAUUUCCGGUGUAGCGGUGAAAUGCGUAGAUAUCGGAAGGAACACCUGUGGCGAAAGCGGCUCACUGGACCACAACUGACGCUGAUGCACGAAAGCUAGGGGAGCAAACAGG
rnacentral:rRNA from 1 species